rnacentral:rRNA from 1 species
CGGGACACGUGGUAUCCUGUCUGAAUAUGGGGGGACCAUCCUCCAAGGCUAAAUACUCCUGACUGACCGAUAGUGAACCAGUACCGUGAGGGAAAGGCGAAAAGAACCCCGGCGAGGGGAGUGAAAAAGAACCUGAAACCGUGUACGUACAAGCAGUGGGAGCACAGAGCAAUCUGUGUGACUGCGUACCUUUUGUAUAAUGGGUCAGCGACUUAUAUUCUGUAGCAAGGUUAACCGAAUAGGGGAGCCGAAGGGAAACCGAGUCUUAACUGGGCGUUAAGUUGCAGGGUAUAGACCCGAAACCCGGUGAUCUAGCCAUGGGCAGGUUGAAGGUUGGGUAACACUAACUGGAGGACCGAACCGACUAAUGUUGAAAAAUUAGCGGAUGACUUGUGGCUGGGGGUGAAAGGCCAAUCAAACCGGGAGAUAGCUGGUUCUCCCCGAAAGCUAUUUAGGUAGCGCCUCGUGAAUUCAUCUCCGGGGGUAGAGCACUGUUUCGGCAAGGGGGUCAUCCCGACUUACCAACCCGAUGCAAACUGCGAAUACCGGAGAAUGUUAUCACGGGAGACACACGGCGGGUGCUAACGUCCGUCGUGAAGAGGGAAACAACCCAGACCGCCAGCUAAGGUCCCAAAGUCAUGGUUAAGUGGGAAACGAUGUGGGAAGGCCCAGACAGCCAGGAUGUUGGCUUAGAAGCAGCCAUCAUUUAAAGAAAGCGUAAUAGCUCACUGGUCGAGUCGGCCUGCGCGGAAGAUGUAACGGGGCUAAACCAUGCACCGAAGCUGCGGCAGCGACGCUUAUGCGUUGUUGGGUAGGGGAGCGUUCUGUAAGCCUGCGAAGGUGUGCUGUGAGGCAUGCUGGAGGUAUCAGAAGUGCGAAUGCUGACAUAAGUAACGAUAAAGCGGGUGAAAAGCCCGCUCGCCGGAAGACCAAGGGUUCCUGUCCAACGUUAAUCGGGGCAGGGUGAGUCGACCCCUAAGGCGAGGCCGAAAGGCGUAGUCGAUGGGAAACAGGUUAAUAUUCCUGUACUUGGUGUUACUGCGAAGGGGGGACGGAGAAGGCUAUGUUGGCCGGGCGACGGUUGUCCCGGUUUAAGCGUGUAGGCUGGUUUUCCAGGCAAAUCCGGAAAAUCAAGGCUGAGGCGUGAUGACGAGGCACUACGGUGCUGAAGCAACAAAUGCCCUGCUUCCAGGAAAAGCCUCUAAGCAUCAGGUAACAUCAAAUCGUACCCCAAACCGACACAGGUGGUCAGGUAGAGAAUACCAAGGCGCUUGAGAGAACUCGGGUGAAGGAACUAGGCAAAAUGGUGCCGUAACUUCGGGAGAAGGCACGCUGAUAUGUAGGUGAAGUCCCUCGCGGAUGGAGCUGAAAUCAGUCGAAGAUACCAGCUGGCUGCAACUGUUUAUUAAAAACACAGCACUGUGCAAACACGAAAGUGGACGUAUACGGUGUGACGCCUGCCCGGUGCCGGAAGGUUAAUUGAUAGGGUUAGCGGUAACGCGAAGCUCUUGAUCGAAGCCCCGGUAAACGGCGGCCGUAACUAUAACGGUCCUAAGGUAGCGAAAUUCCUUGUCGGGUAAGUUCCGACCUGCACGAAUGGCGUAAUGAUGGCCAGGCUGUCUCCACCCGAGACUCAGUGAAAUUGAACUCGCUGUGAAGAUGCAGUGUACCCGCGGCAAGACGGAAAGACCCCGUGAACCUUUACUAUAGCUUGACACUGAACAUUGAGCCUUGAUGUGUAGGAUAGGUGGGAGGCUUAGAAGUGUGGACGCCAGUCUGCAUGGAGCCGGCCUUGAAAUACCACCCUUUAAUGUUUGAUGUUCUAACGUUGGCCCCUGAUCGGGGUUGCGGACAGUGUCUGGUGGGUAGUUUGACUGGGGCGGUCUCCUCCUAAAGAGUAACGGAGGAGCACGAAGGUUGGCUAAUCCUGGUCGGACAUCAGGAGGUUAGUGCAAUGGCAUAAGCCAGCUUGACUGCGAGCGUGACGGCGCGAGCAGGUGCGAAAGCAGGUCAUAGUGAUCCGGUGGUUCUGAAUGGAAGGGCCAUCGCUCAACGGAUAAAAGGUACUCCGGGGAUAACAGGCUGAUACCGCCCAAGAGUUCAUAUCGACGGCGGUGUUUGGCACCUCGAUGUCGGCUCAUCACAUCCUGGGGCUGAAGUAGGUCCCAAGGGUAUGGCUGUUCGCCAUUUAAAGUGGUACGCGAGCUGGGUUUAGAACGUCGUGAGACAGUUCGGUCCCUAUCUGCCGUGGGCGCUGGAGAACUGAGGGGGGCUGCUCCUAGUACGAGAGGACCGGAGUGGACGCAUCACUGGUGUUCGGGUUGUCAUGCCAAUGGCACUGCCCGGUAGCUAAAUGCGGAAGAGAUAAGUGCUGAAAGCAUCUAAGCACGAAACUUGCCCCGAGA